rnacentral:ncRNA from 1 species
UGGUCCUGGCCUUGAGAUCAAUUUUUACCUAAUUUACACAUGCAAGUCUCCGCACCCCUGUGAGAACGCCCUUAAAUCCCCUCUAGGGACAAGGAGCUGGCAUCAGGCUCAACCUAAGCCCAUGACGCCUAGCUACGCCACACCCACAAGGGUAUUCAGCAGUGAUUAACAUUGACCAUAAGCGCAAGCUUGACUCAAUUAAGGUAAAGAGAGCCGGCAAAUCCGGUGCCAGCCGCCGCGGCUACACCGCGAGGCUCAAAUUGAUAUCUUCCGGCGUAAAGCGUGAUUAAAGGCUUCACCAAACUGUAGUCAAACUAAAACUAAGCCGUGACAAGCUUGUUCAACAGAAGCUCAAAAACGAAAGUAACUACAAUUCACCCAACUUGAACUCACGUCAGCUAGGAAACAAACUGGGAUUAGAUACCCCACUAUGCCUAGCCGUAAACCUUAACUUACACCCAAAUCGCCAGGGAACUACGAGCGAAAGCUUAAAACCCAAAGGACUUGACGGUACCCCACAUCCACCUAGAGGAGCCUGUCCUAUAAUCGAUAAUCCCCGUUUAACCUCACCAUUUUUUGCUUUUCAGCCUGUAUACCUCCGUCGUCAGCUUACCACGUGAGCGCCCCUCAGUGAGCUAAAUGUCCUUCGUCAAAACGUCAGGUCAAGGUGCAGCAUACAAAAUGGGAAGAGAUGGGCUACACUCUCUAGCAUAGAACACACGAAAGGCUACAUAUGAAACCCUAGCCUGAAGGCGGAUUUAGUAGUAAAAAGAGACAAGAGAGCUCUUUUUAACACGGCACUGGGGUGUGUACACACCGCCCGUCACCCUCUUCAAAGCCACAAAACAGUAUUUAACACCAUAAAGCAACAAAGAAGAGGCAAGUCGUAACAUGGUAAGUAUACCGGAAGGUGUGCUUGGAAA